rfam:Neotoma lepida isolate 417 scaffold_439, whole genome shotgun sequence.
UGGCUCAGCGGUUAAGAGCACUGGCUGCUCUUCCAGAGGUCCUGGGUUCAAUUCCCAG